rnacentral:rRNA from 1 species
GACGGAAGGUGCAAGCGUUGCUCGGAAUCACUGGGCGUAAAGCGCGCGUAGGCGGAUCUGCAAGUCGGGGGUGAAAUCCCGAGGCUCAACCUCGGAACUGCCUUCGAUACUGCGGGUCUCGAGUCCGGGAGAGGUGAGUGGAAUUCCUAGUGUAGAGGUGAAAUUCGUAGAUAUUAGGAAGAACACCAGUGGCGAAGGCGGCUCACUGGCCCGGUACUGACGCUGAGGCGCGAAAGCGUGGGGAGCAAACAGG